UGACGCUGUCCUUGGGAUGGUGGGAGGUGCCUGGGGCCUGUCCUGGCUGCUCCUGGUGUCCAACUCUUCGCACCUACACGGAGGCAGGCCUGGCUGAAGCAGGCCAGUCCAGUGGGAAUGGGAAGCGCUACCACAUAUUUGUUUGGGUUUGCAUUUAAAGCUCCGGACCUGUCGUGGGUGCAGCUCAUAAAGGAAACCAGCGCGGAUAAGAUAUGGGCGAGCUGAAUGCUUGGAAACCACUCCCAAACACAAGCUGAAGUGGUUUGAAAUCAAGGUGGAGCGAUGUACCCAAGGCACAAUACUUGGCAGCUACGCCCAGCGUGUGAGAAAGGCGUUUCGCUCCAGGGUGGUGAGGCAGGCAGGGCAUCCCCCGUGCUUCCGACGGGGCCUGCGGUGCCGGGGCACCGGGUGCCACCCCUGCCUCUGCCCACUUGCCCUCUCUGGCUCCAUGCUUUGCACCCCAGGGAGCCCGUGGCACCCCGUGGGCCUGCAGGAAGCUGUGCCAGGGGUUCUGCUCCCCCUGAGAGAGGCUCCAUCGCCCUGUACUGGAACGCUCCCCAUGGCUGCUGGGCCUUUAGCAUAAAAAACAAUGCCUGGAGGAGAAUGCAGACCUGAUUUUUCUGGAGGGCAGAAUCGAUCUCCUCUGCCUUCAGGAUGAAAGAUGGUGUGGCAGAAAGAGAAAUAGGAUCUUUCCACCCCCCCUGGCUCCUCUCAGCUGCGACCACACGUGUCUGGAGGAAGGCUGGGGAUGCCACAGCAGCCUGGCCUGCGUGCCAGCCGGGCUGGGGUGGGUGACACCGGCAGCCCCGGGGCAGACGGGCAAACGGGAUCAGUCACACGGGCCCGGCCCGCGGCUGAACGGACCAGGAGAUGGAGCGAGCUGUAUCCUAUUUCAGAUCCCCCGGGACAUCCUGUUCUCCUGAUAACUGAGGAUAUGUAAAUAUAGCAAAUGCAAAGCCGGGCACUUUCCUGGGGUGCCCGGCCCAGGCUGCUUAUAGAGCAGGGCUGAGCCCCGGCGGCGCGCUUGGAAACACCCAUCCCAACUGCCACACAGGCAUCGGGCUUUAUUUUUAGUUCAAAACCAAGAAGUUCCUGUCGGUAAGGCCAGGAGGGUUACAGGAAGAAAAAUUACGAAGUGGGAUCAUUUACUGCUAUUUUCUUUUCACGUGUCCUUCCUUCCUUCCUCCCUCCUGAGAAAUGGGAUGUAGCACAUCGCUAUUCCAGGCUGCAGCCCGCGCUGGUUCCUGCUCCCUCCGAAGAGGCCCAUUAAGCCUCGUGUAACAAAAAGGGCUCCGUCCUCCCAGCCCCGCCAAUUACCCCUGAUUUCUGUCGCUGCACCGAGGCGCUUAUCUCACGGAAAGGAAACUCCGGCCUCGCUGACUCGCACCUCCUUUCUCUCCCGGCAGAGCCCCCCGUGCCCGGCGGGGUGAGGGGCAGGGCGUGGGGAUCCCUCCCCGGAGCAUCAAUCCCUCCCCGCGCCGCCGACCAGACCCGGCAGCCGUGGGGUUGAGGGAGACGACGGGGAGGAUUUGGUCAGGCGGGCCAAAGGAGGCGCUUUAAUGAGCAAAGCCGAGCGCUAAUUAGCCCGGUGCAGCCCCUCGCCCCAUCCCCGCGGUUCUCCUUCGGCGGGGUCACGGCGCAAGGGCGGCCGCAGCGAUGAGUUUGGCAAUGAGGUGUUUCUCUCCUUCCCGUGCCCUGUUUGGGAAAGAGCUGCGGUGCCCUGUGCCUUGGGAGAACCAGGAGCGCUGGGUUUGCCAGCACCUUGUGACAAAGACUCACGUGAACUGAGAAAGGAUAAAGAGGGGGUGGCCAGGACACAGGGGGAGAAGGGGCAGGUUAGCGUCUGGUACAGCCUCUGCAGGCAAACAAGAUCCUUCUGCUUCUGGUUUUAAUGAGAAAGGCCCCAGUGGAAAUUUGAAAUCUGAAUCUGCAUGAAAUCCUCAAAGUUCAGGGAGUUUAGAGCUCGGUCCAUUCCAUCGCUCAUCAGAGCUGUCUGCAAAAUUCACAUCCCAAUACUUCUUUUCCGAUCCUAAAUUCUGCCAGAGAUGCAUGCCUGGAUGUGAGAUAUUUUUCUUCUUUUUCAUCCCUUUUGCUAAUUCAAUUCCCAGAUCUAAAU